rnacentral:rRNA from 1 species
GACAGAGGUGCCGAGCGUUAGGCGGAAUCACUGGGCUUAAAGCGUGUGUAGGCGGGCGGGCAAGUACCUUGUGAAAUCCCACGGCUCAACCGUGGAACCGCUGGGUAUACUGGUUGUCUUGAGCCGGCUAGGGGCGAGCGGAACAGACGGUGGAGCGGUGAAAUGCGUAGAUAUCGUUUGGAACGCCAAUGGUGAAAACAGGUUGCUGGGGACAUGCUGACGCUGAGACACGAAAGCCAGGGGAGCGAACGGG